ACUGGGUUGUGCAACAUUGUCCGAUCAGCUGAGUUGCGUUGUUGACAGUAGUGAUAAAUGUUUGGAGGUUUUCAAUUGCGAAAGUCGUGGAAAACUAAAGGAAUUGUAAAAAUUUUUUAAUGCAGCAUAAGUUAAUGUUACAACUGAUAGCAUAAAAAGGCAACGACAAUGGCGAAAGCGGUCAACAAUAUGGGAAUGUCGAUUGUGGAGCCUCAUGAGCGGAUUCGCUUCCUAUCCAAUUACGGAAAUAUAAUUGAAGUGGACGCCAAUGUGCCAGUUACACGAUACUAUCGCUCGGGCACUGAAAUGCUUCGCAUGGCAAAUGUUUAUCUCGCUGAGGGAAAUCACGAAAACGCCUUUAUUCUCUACAUGAAGUAUAUGACGCUAUUUAUCGAGAAAAUUCGGUCACAUCCAGAAUAUCCUAAAAUAAAGUCUGAGGUAAAAGAAAUUAAUAAACGGAUUAAAGAUGAAAUCAUGCCGACCACUGAGAAAUUGCGCGCCAAACUGCUUGACCGAUACCAAAAGGAGUAUGAACAGUUUCUUGCAAACAAGGAGGCCGAAAAAGCACGAGAAUUGGAGCGGGAACGUAAAAAACGAGCAGCCGUAACUGAGGGCGGAAGUGGAAGAGGCGUAGGUUCCUAUAUACCAACUAAUCUUCAUGUUCAAAUAGAUCCAAGUAUGCAGCCCAGUGCACCGGAUGUUGGACUUUUGGAUAAAGUUGUUUAUCCCAAUGAUUUCCCAACUGGCGCAAAUCGUUCAAACUUGCCCAGCUCAGGACUGCUCUUGCCGGGAGACGCGGACAAAGAAGGCGCAAAAUCAAUAAGUAAACCGCCCAGCUUUGAUCGUAGUCAGAAGCCGCAAUUCGAACGCUCCGACUCCCUACUGGCGGGAUCAUUGCGCACUGUAAUGAUUCCUGGAAACACAAUGGAUGUAUUCUUGCAACUGGCGCAAAGCAAUACUACGAAGAAUAUCGAAACUUGUGGUAUCCUAGCAGGACAUUUGGCGCAAAAUCACUUAUUUAUAACACAUAUUAUCAUACCAAAGCAACAGGGCACACCUGACAGUUGCAAUACCAUGCAUGAGGAGGAGAUUUUCGACGUGCAAGACCAGCAAAAUCUCAUUACACUCGGUUGGAUUCAUACUCACCCCAGCCAAACAGCAUUCCUCUCAUCAGUGGAUUUGCAUACACAUUGUUCGUAUCAAAUGAUGAUGCCCGAAGCAAUUGCAAUUGUCUGUGCGCCUAAAUAUAAAACCACUGGUUUCUUCAUCCUUACACCGAACUAUGGUUUAGACUAUAUUGCACAAUGCAGGCAAACUGGUUUUCAUCCACAUCCUAAUGAACCACGCUUAUUUAUGGAAGCGCAGCACAUUCAACUCGAUAGCCAGAGGAAGAUAGAAGUAGUGGAUCUGAGAAGAUAGUAUGUGGAGUUUUACGUUUGAGAAGGCCUUAUAGACACUAUAUUAUACAUACCUAGGAAAAAGAUGGCGUAAUGAUCGCUAAGCGAAUUUAAAAUAAAUGGAAAGAUGCAACAAAGGCAAAUAUGGGAAAAUUAUAAAAAGUUCCUUUUGCAAUACCACAGAUGUGAAGAAGAUAAAUCACCAAACAUGCAUUUGCACAUUUUGUAAUUAUGUAUGUGCAUCAGCAUUCGCAAAAUCAAAGAAGAAAAUUUACUUUACUACGCUAUAAGGCAAUACUUUUGUAACAAAUAUGCUAGCACGCUGCAUCCAGAUCGCGAAAUUAACAUAAUAAAUAUUGAGACAUCUUGCUGCAUAAAUUUAAAGAAAAAAUAUUUUUAGACAAUUUUGCGCUGGAAAAGAAGAAUUCUAGACAGGAGAGAUUUUAGUGUAAAGAUUUAUAAAAUGAAAUUGAAUAUAGAAACAGAGUCAAACAAAUUAUUGCUGUGAUUUGCAAUAAAUGUUAAACAAACGUUAGCAAAGCCUACUUUGCUUAGCUGCAGUUGUACCUUUCUUUGCCGAUGUCGCUUUUUUCAAUGUUGUUAUUCAGUUUAUUUAUAUAUCACCCCUAUUUCGAGUUUCGACUAUUAGUAGAUAAACGACUAUUAUUCGAUUAGCGCUUUCCAUGGUAUUGUGAAUGUGGAUUUCCCGUUCAGUUAUAACUUUUUGUUUGUAGAAGGAUGAGCGACUAAAUAUAAUUAAGACUCACUUAUUGAACGAGGAGACGACAUUGAAAAUACCAUGGAUAAUCGAAAAUCGAAUAAUAGUCGUUUAUCUAUUACUAGUCGAAACUCGCAAUAGGGGUGUAUACUUUGUCUCGUUGUACAAGAUGAUUUCACUAUAAUAAGCAAACUUAGUUUACUCUAUUUACCAAAAUAGUUAAAACAAACAAAUAAAUAAAUCAUGAAAUGAACAACUUGUUAUUAGUUCUAGCAGAUAUUAGUUAUACUAAAUUAUUGUGUAUUAAAAAAGUUUAAUUAAGUGCAUAAAAAAAUAAAUACAAAUAAUGUUAACUAAACACCCAAAAAUAUGUGGAUUCCCACAACAAAACGCGAUAAUUU